UACAGAGGGGGCAAGCGUUGUUCGGAAUUACUGGGCGUAAAGGGCUCGUAGGUGGCCAACUAAGUCGGACGUGAAAUCCCUCAGCUUAACUGGGGAACUGCGUCCGAUACUGAAUGGCUUGAGUUUGGGAGAGGGAUGCGGAAUUCCAGGUGUAGCGGUGAAAUGCGUAGAUAUCUGGAGGAACACCGGUGGCGAAGGCGGCAUCCUGGACCAACACUGACACUGAGGAGCGAAAGCCAGGGGAGCAAACGGG
rnacentral:rRNA from 1 species